CAAUGGCAUACCAGAUGGAGGGAGCUGCAGAGCUCUUAGAAGUGGCAAAGAGUGAAAUGCUUAACAUUUUGAUGAUAAAGAAGUUGCAAUUACUUUCUGAUGUCACAUCUAAGGCUGCUGAUGAUAAGAAUGAAGUCUGUCCCAGACCCACUGCCACUGAACUGGAGACAAGCAAGGACUCUGCAGCGUGAGAGCAUGAUCUACCCAGUGGAACCUGCAAUCAGAGGCACAUGGGGCUGAUCCAGAGAUGCUGUGUCACUCAAGAUAGAAGGAAAAAUCAAGCUGAAAUGAAGUUUCUGUGACAGGUGGAAAGGUUUAUGUUGCUUGAAGCAUUUAUUUUACAUGCAAUUUUAAGAUUGUGGAUCUUUCUAAGAUAAGAUUGAGGAUUACUUGGAGGGAAAUCUCCAUCUCUGUGUUUGUAAAUACUCUCUCAUCUGAAACACAGUAGAGCAGAGCAUGAGGAUCUGGGAUGGUAACAACAUCUUGCAGCUUCUCUUUUUGCUUGAUGUUGCUCAAGCUCCAUCCCCCAGAAAUGGCUCCAUUUACGAGAAUCAGAUCACCCUUCCAGGAUGCCAUCUAGCUCCCCGUGUUACCCAAACUUCCCAUCAAAUCUGUAAGUCCCAUAACAUGAGGCAGUCAUUUCAUUUUCUGCUCAGGUUAGACCGAGUUGGUUUUUACUGUUUGCAAUGAAAAGUUGUGACUGAUAAAAAUAUGUUUCCAGAUUUGACAGAAUUAAAUCAUCAAAUUUUUUUCUCACAAAAUAUUUAUAGUUGUACUAAACUCUUUUUUCUAUUAAAAUUUGGAAUAAUUUAUGGGGUUGUAAAACAAGUCUCAGUAGUAUAUUGCUUAGGGUUGUGUUAUAGUU
rnacentral:lncRNA from 1 species